AAGUCGAACGGCAGCGCGGACUUCGGUCUGGCGGCGAGUGGCGAACGGGUGAGUAAUGUAUCGGAACGUGCCUAGUAGCGGGGGAUAACUACUCGAAAGAGUGGCUAAUACCGCAUACGCCCUACGGGGGAAAGGGGGGGAUCGCAAGACCUCUCACUAUUAGAGCGGCCGAUAUCGGAUUAGCUAGUUGGUGAGGUAAAGGCUCACCAAGGCGACGAUCCGUAGCUGGUUUGAGAGGACGACCAGCCACACUGGGACUGAGACACGGCCCAGACUCC
rnacentral:rRNA from 1 species